CCUACGGGUGGCAGCAGUGAGGAAUAUUGGUCAAUGGACGAGAGUCUGAACCAGCCAAGUAGCGUGCAGGAUGACUGCCCUAUGGGUUGUAAACUUCUUUUAUAUGGGAAUAAAAUGUUCCACGUGUGGGUUUUUGUAUGUACCGUAUGAAUAAGGACCGGCUAAAUCCGUGCCAGCAGCCGCGGUAAUACGGUGGGUCCGAGCGUUAUCCGGAUUUAUUGGGUUUAAAGGGAGCGUAGGUGGUGUGUUAAGUCAGUUGUGAAAGGCUGUGGCUCAACCAUAGAAUUGCGGUUGAAACUGGCAGGCUUGAGUGCAGGAGAGGUGAGCGGAAUUCGUGGUGUAGCGGUGAAAUGCUUAGAUAUCACGAAGAACUCCGAUUGCGAAGGCAGCUCACUGGACUGCAACUGACGCUGAGGCUCGAAAGUGUGGGUAUCAAACAGGAUUAGAUACCCGUGUAGUC
rnacentral:rRNA from 1 species